rnacentral:rRNA from 1 species
CCUACGGGAGGCAGCAGUGGGGAAUUUUGGACAAUGGGGGCAACCCUGAUCCAGCCAUUCCGCGUGAGUGAAGAAGGCCUUCGGGUUGUAAAGUUCUUUCGCAAGGGAAGAAAACUCGAUCUCUAAUAUAGGUUGAGGCUGACGGUACCUUGAUAAGAAGCACCGGCUAACUACGUGCCAGCAGCCGCGGUAAUACGUAGGGUGCGAGCGUUAAUCGGAAUUACUGGGCGUAAAGCGUGCGCGGGCGGUUUUGAAAGUCAGAUGUGAAAUCCCCGGGCUCAACCUGGGAACUGCGUUUGAAACUCCAAAGCUAGAGUAUGGGAGAGGGAGGUAGAAUUCCACGUGUAGCAGUGAAAUGCGUAGAGAUGUGGAGGAAUACCAAUGGCGAAGGCAGCCUCCUGGCCUAAUACUGACGCUCAUGCACGAAAGCGUGGGGAGCAAACAGGAUUAGAUACCCUGGUAGUCCACGCCCUAAACGAUGUCUACUAGUUGUUGGGAGAGUAAAAUCUUUUAGUAACGAUGCUAACGCGAGAAGUAGACCGCCUGGGGAGUACGGUCGCAAGAUUAAAACUCAAAGGAAUUGACGG